GACAGCUCUCCAGAUGGAAGGCCCUGAGCAGAGAGUCAUCCACGUAUUUAUUUGCUCUUUGACAGGUGAUUCUCAUUAAUACACAGGUGUUCUACAUAUACACAUAACUCAGGAAUAUACUAGGUAGGCAGCUGUUACCUGCCUACCACUAAUUACACACUAAAAGUAUCUUCCACAAGAUAACCAUGGGGGCAGGGUAAACUUAAUGUUUCUCAACAGUGGUCAUAUCUGUUUGCUGUUGGGAAUCAGGGUUUUUUGCUCAUUCAAACUGGUAAACUCACUGAGGCUUGCUCUCUGCUUUGAUGACAGGGCAGCAUGAAAGACAGCUUUUAUUUUAUUCGCCUAUAUUAGAGAAGACUGUCAACCUUUUUGCUGAGUUGUGGAGCUCUGGUUCAAUCUUAGAGAAAGGCAGGAUAGUGGAGUGGGGAUUGGAGCCAAGGUAACUCCAAUUUCCGACAGGCUCCAUCACCGAAGAGCUGUGUGGCCUCGGGCAAGUCACUGAACCACUCAGCCUGUUUCUUCAGCUGUAACAUAGAGAUAAUAACACAGCAUCUUGCAGGAGUUGUGUGAAGGUGAAAGCUUUAGGUACAUAAAGUUAUAAAAUAUAGAAGAGUUUGGCACAUAAUAGACCCUCAUAAAUGUUCAUGAGUGCACAGAAUAAUUACUCAUAAAUAUUGUUUAUGAAAUUAACAAACCAGAAGAUAAAUUAUGCUCCUGCUAACCCACCCACAUUAUGGAUGAUUAGUUCGGAUUCAGGAUCAGAUUUGAAAUAUCUUUUGAAACAUAUGUAGGGCAGAGAAAUUAACAUUCGAGUGCCUGGAGAAUCUUAAAUUUUCUCAUUCCUGACUUCGGAUAUAAAAUUUGCAAUAUAGCAUAAGUUUUUGGUAUGCUCCCUUUUCUUUCAGGCUUAAUUACUUUUAAUGAACAAACAAACCCAUGACAUCAUCUACAGUAUUGGCAAUUACAGCUAGUAGGAGAGCAAUAAAAAUGAACCAUUCACUCUAGUUGAUAAAGGGAAGCCCAAAUCCAGGAGCUGACAUAGUGAAGCUUCUAAAGACACCACAGGUGACUGAUAUUGCUGCAGUGUGAUUAAAUGGUUGUUUAGUCUGAAGGAAGUGGGCAUCAGCCAAAAAGGAAGGAUGGCAUAGUUAUCUCACCCAUUUGCUAAAUCAAAACUGGAGAAAUUAUCUAGGGCAUUCAGCUAUUCUCUUGAGAACAUAACUAUUCCUUAAUUACCUAACUAGAAAACUCAUGAGCCUCUGGAGAAUUCUUAGGAAACAUUACAGAGAGUUUAUGUGAACUGCAGCCUCUAGUGGCAAAUGCCCCAGAGCAAAUCUCUCACUUGAAACAGUUCUCAGGGUCUGCUGCAGCCAAUCGUCCCCUUGUAGCUGUUCCCUCCUUCCCAUCCCUUUCUACUACCACCAAUCUAAGCAACUUCCCAGCUGGCUCCCUGCCCCCAGCCUCUCCAGUGUUACCUUCAUGAAACACAGCUCUAAUCACAUCAGUCUGGCUCAGACACUUUUAGUGGCUCCCAUGUCCCACAUGAUGAAGUCCAAACUUUUUCAAAUGAUACUUAAGGUCUUCCAUGAUCUGGCUUCAACUUACGUUGAAAUCUCUUCUCCUAGGUCUCCUUAUCACAGCCUUUAUUCUCAUCCUCCCUACUAUCCUCAUGCAUCCAUUCAACAAACAUUUUUAAAGUGCCACAAAUCUAGCAUUGUGAUGGAGGAUCAGCAAGACAGAGUCUCUGUUCCGGGGAGCUCAGAGUGUGGCGACGGGUUGGACAAGCCAAAGAGUGCUUCCCCCAGUUACUAACCCAGAGGGUUAGUCCCCAGUUAUUUACCCUAAGAAUGCCUUGUACUUUUUCUUUCAAACACAAAUAAUAAGUAAAUGAUUAUCUAGGUAAUUAUUUAAUGCCUAUCUCUCUUCCCCUCAUCAGCCGAUCAACUUUUAAGGGCAGAGAGGGCAGAAUCAUGUCUGAUAAGUUCAUCCUACAUGUGCAUUGACAGUUAUAUUGUAAAUGACCUAAAAUAAAUAUUUUUGAAUGAUGUGUAUUUGUGGUCAUUUUUUCUUUCUGGAGCUUUACCAUAUUACUCUUAGGUACUGUGCAAAACAUUCCAGAAUCUGGAAUGUAUUCUCUAGGUCCAUAGGGGCUGUUUCUCACUUGGUCUGAUGGCCAAUAACAUGCAUAGGACACCUUUAUUCCUGCCUCAACGGAAGUGUCUGCACACACACUCUCACACACAUGCACACACACACACUCACACAUACACACACACUCACACACUUGCACACAGUCUCACACACUCCCAUCCCUCUAUUUUUAUAUUUGCAUCCAGAAGCCAAUAUGUUAUCAAGGGGAUCGUAACCUGGUUAGCAAAUCCGACUCUGACAGAAUCUUGAAUAUUUGCUCCAUAAAUUCAUCAGUGCAAGGGCAGACUUUAUACUUAGCAACAUUCAGAAUUGCCUUGGUUCCAAAAUUUUAAAAAGGAAUGCAAAAUUUAAACAAAUCAAAAUGUCUUAAAAUGCUAAAUAUAGAGAAUAACUAUGAAUAUCAAGUUCCUUGCUAAUCUUAUCGAUAGCUCAUCUAGACUUAUGGCUUCAAAUAUUACUUAUGUGUUGUCUUAGGGUGGGUGACCCAGAAGCAGAGCCUGAUUUGUAUGCACAUGAUAUUUUAAGGAAAUACUCCCCGGACUGGUAAGGCAGAGAGACACGUAUACAGAGGAGAGGAAGCCCAGCAAAGGUAUCAUCUCAGGCAGGCUUUGCAAAGGGUGGUGGUUUUAACCCAAUCCUGGGUGUACAGAAACCCUGGGGCUUAAGGUAUGCCCAGAGUUUUUUGGAACAAGAGAACUAGGCUUUCAUACACCUUCUGCUCUGUACCCUGUGCCUGUGUGUCACUGGCCAAGGAUCGUCCUAGAACAGGGGUCUCCAAACCGUGGGCCACGAACCGGUACCUGUCUGUGGCCUGUUAGGAACUGCGCUGUACAGCAGGAGGUGAGUGGUAGAUGAGCAAGCAAGGGAAGCUUCAUUUGUAUUUGCAGUCACUCCCAAUCCCUCGCAUUACUGCCUGAGCUCCACCUCCUGUCUUAUAGCACAGGAAUCCCCAACCUCUGAACCAGAGACUGGUACUUGUUCAUGGCCUGUUAGGAACUGAGCUGCACAGCAGAAGAUGAACAGCGGGCCAGAGAGUGAAGCUGAGCUCCACCUCCUGUCAGAUCAGCAGUGGCAUCAGAUUCUCAUAGAAGCACAAACCCUAUUGUGAACUGCAUAUGUGAUGGAUCUAGGUUACACGCUCCUUAUGGUAAUCUAGCGCCUAAUGAUCUGUCACUGUCUCCUAUCAUCCUCAGAUGGGACCAUCUAGUUGCAGGAAAACAAGUUCAGGGCUCCCGCUGAUUCUACAUUAUGGGAACAAUGCUAUGCAGGUCUAUUUCUCAUUUCAGUAAAAGUUCAGGCCAAUUCUAGACCUGCUGGAAUUGCUUCACAGAGCACAGCAUCUCAAACACAACAUGUUCAAAACUGAGAUCUUGAUAGUGCUUCCUAGAGUCUUCCUCAUCCUGCUCAUGACAACUUCAUUGUAUUUGCUCAGACCAAAGACCAUGGUAUCAUCUGUGACCACUCUCUGUAUUUCAUGCCGCACCUCCGAUCCAUCAACAAAUCCUGUUGGUGCUACCUUCAAAAUAUGUUCAGAAUUUGGCUGGGUGCAGUGGCUCAAAUCUAUAAUGCCAGCACUUUGGGAGGCCAAGGUGGGUAGAUCACUUGAGGU